rnacentral:rRNA from 1 species
CAAUAGCGUAUAUUUAAGUUGUUGCAGUUAAAAGCUCGUAGUUGGAUUUCGGUUGAGAACGGCCGGUCCGCCGUUUGGUGUGCACUGGCUGGUCUCAACUUCCUGUAGAGGACGCGCUCUGGGUUAACGCUCGGACGCGGAGUCUACGUGGUUACUUUGAAAAAUUAGAGUGUUCAAAGCGGGCUUACGCUUGAAUAUUUCAGCAUGGAAUAACACUAUAGGACUCCUGUCCUAUUUUGUUGGUUUCUAGGACAUACGCAAUGAUUAAUAGGGACAAUUGGGGGCAUUCGUAUUAACGCGUCAGAGGUGGAAUUCUUAGAUUGCGUUACGACGAACUACUGCGAAAGCAUUUGCCAAGGAUGUUUUCAUUGAUCAAGAACGAAAGUAUGGGGAUCGAAGACGAUCAGAUACCAU